AGCCCUGGACUCAACAUGGCGGCGCGCAUUCGGACGCUUGACCCGGCUGUCCCCGGGCACGGGUAAGGGACAACAGUUCGUCUCCAGUCCUGCCGUUUUCGAUACGUAGCGAUGCGGCUUAGUACGCCCGCGCGUUUUUGCGCCACCUACGGUCUGGCCCCUCACUUGCGAGUUUGCUGACCCUGAACGACCCUCAUUCGCGGCGCACCGGAAGCGCUUGUCCCUCCUCGCGUCUGUCUCCCGGAAGUGGUUUUUCUCCUUUUUCUACACCCUUGGGGCGGUCCCGCCGGGCUCGAGGGCGGGGUCCACGUGCUAGCUUGUGGCCAGACGCCUAGUAGCAUUUUCGGGGUCUAUAUAUGCCUUUUGCCUUUGCGUUAUUGGAAAGCUCAGACGUAGCUUUGGGCAGCGUCCGCAUCCUCGGGCUCCUUAGGCUUUGUGACCUUGGGCAGGUUGCCUAACCUCUCAGAGCUUCUCAGGUGACUUACCUGCAAAAUGGGAUGGUAAUGUCCGAACUGGUGCUAAAUCCGAAAGCUCCUGCCCCAUAGCAGGCCUUCAACAGACGGCCUCUGUUUCGUUUGGUGGCGCCGGUGGCUCUGGAUAGACUUGAGCAACAGCAUUACAUGGUGGCCAAGCCCGCUCACGUCCCCUGUCAGCCACCUUCCUGUCUAGUGUUAAUAACCACGCCGCGAGGAAUCGCAGAGUUCCUGGUUGAAGGUUCUCCAGGGCCCUUUGUUUCAGGACAGAUUUACUUGGAAGCUAUGGAGGAGAAUCCGAGAAAUGUGUGAGCGUCCUGACUUAAAUGAGGGAGGUGAGGGGAGUUCCCCAAAUAGCCUGUACGCUGGGCUUUUUCUGUCUGUCUUUGGGAUGCCAGGCCCUGGGCUCUGGUCCACAACACUAGCUGUAAGCUAGGGCCCUGGAUGUGAUGACUAAGGAAGACAUUUUGCUGUUCAUUGUCAUAAAUAGUCUUCUGAGACCUUUGUUAACUGAAGACGCCCUAAUGCCUAAGCAAGGCACAGCUGCUUGAUGAAUUGUUCGCUACCAUGAGAAUUGGAGCGAAGGGAAGGGGGAGUGUACAUCGAGGAAAUACGGAAGGACAAGCUCGUGGUUCUUGCAUCCUCCCACUGUCCUGUAACUCUGUGGAAGAUUGUGGUACUCCCAUGAGAGCAUCCUCCAGAAAACUUACUAGAAAGGAAGAAUCCGAGGUCUCCUAGCAGAUCUCCUGAGGCAGAAUCUGCAUUUUAGCAGAGUCCCAGCUGAUGGCCAUGCACGUUAAAGUUUGUGAAGGCCCUGGUCUAGCUGGUGGUGUGAUUGGGCUUACAGUGAUGCGGUCGCAUUGAAAGUUCAGGGAGAGAAAGAGUCCACAGGGCCGGAAGCUGGACCAGUGGUAGCACGGCAGCCGUGUCCUGCGUUUGGACACUGCCAGCAGGUGGAUUCCGAAGAUGAAACAGUCGUCAGUGGGCAGCCUGGAUGAACACCAGGACUGCAGGAGCCCUUGCUGAAAAGGAAGAUCAGAUCACCACUAUUACCACAACUGCUGUUUCUUCCUAGGGUGUCUACAUUUGUGGAAUGUGGCCACUGAAAACAAAGAGAUGAUCUCCAAACGCACCCUUUUUCAGGUGUUCUGGUGUGAAGAGUUCUCUGCCCCCAGUAUUUGGAAAGUUUCACAGGCUGGGCGCCUCCUGUCCGCAGCCAACAAUGAUGUUUUGUGUGUCUUCAUCCCGGUUGAAGGGCCUGGCACACAAACAGCCCAGCCUAUUCAUUCCUGGAGCAAUUUUACGUAUGCAAGACCGAAGCCAAGAUGAAUGUCUUCAUCCCCGACGUGCUCAUUCAACCACAUUCUGCUCAAUCAUCCAAAUGGAUAUUUAAUAGAAGGACAUUUGUUUUGCCCAACUGGAGUGCCUCCAAUGGGGCAGGGAUGGCGUCACCUGCCCAGGGGGUCCUGUUGGCUCCCUCCUGGGGCAGCGCCACUGCCAAGCUUGACAGAACCGCUCACACUGACUCCCCGACUCCCCAGCCAGCAACCUCAGACUGCCAUCUCAUUGGGAAGGGAACUCUAGACCUCUGCAUUUUCACUGGCCAGACAUUCUGAAUAAAGCCUAUGUCCUCGGUGCUGGCAGUUCUUCAGAGGGCUCUUUGAGAGUUUGAAUAGACGUUCUGCAGAAGCGUCCCUUUCAUUUGCCGCGAAGACGAAGCUUGUGCCAAUGCGUGUCCCUGAAGAUGUACAGGUGGGACCAGAAACAGCUCACAGCGUGGGAGGAGAUGCACCGGUGACAGCUGCACUCGGUCCAGGAGGCAAGAAGCGGCUUUGUGACGUGGGCCGAAGGGGUGCCGGUGACAGGUCACCUUGGGGGUGUCCCUACUGAGACACAGUCUCACGGGGAAAACAGCAAAGAGCCCAAGCAGGUUAGCGUAGCCGUGCCAUGAAGGGUUCUGCACAGAGCUGCUUGUACGGGAACUGGUGACUCACCCUGGCUUCUGUUGCCCCUUUGCGCAAAGCAUCAAAGUCCUAUCCGAUGCCUGACCCAUAUUCCGUGGGAGUUUUUCUUUCCAGUUUAUCCCAUGGUGAUUUAGUAGUGUUUGCUUUUCAGUGUUCCCUUGUUCCAAGAACACAGUUACCUUUACCCUACUUAAAAUGUACUUUUUUGUUUAAUAUGAAAGAUUAAACUCAUGGGAUACUCUGACAUGAUGUCAGGAUCCUGUUCACUGAAAGACAUCAAUAGUCGGCCAUCCAACUUCAUAUUCCGUUAUCACUUUACCGACAUUUGGAAUCCCAUUUAAAUAACGUUUUUCUGCAAAAACUAUCGGGAAAUGUAAUGCCUAUCUAGCCUGAUGGUGUAAUAUAUUAAACACAAUACUAACUGGGAAAUUCUCAGCUGGACCUUCAUUUAGUAAACACGAUGUAGAAAGUAAGUACUUGAUUGAUGUGGAAGGACGCUGACGAGUGACGUCUCUUGCUAUGUUUAUGUUUUCUCUGAAAUAACACCCACUGUGAAAGGUACAGAAAUGUGAUUUGCUGUUUUUUCCAUGAUGUGCAUAAGGGAUGGAAGAUAAUUGUCAUUCGGAGAGCAACUCUCAUGCUGUGGGCUGGGUCUAGAGCUCUGCCUCUUUGAGUCCGGUCAACAACACCAUCGUGCAGGAUGCAAGUUCUCGCUGCAGCUGGGGUCCUCCGCUGGUUCCAGAACCGAUGCACACUGCCUGCUGGGCUCUUUGUGUGAAGGGUCAGGGAGUAAAGAGCUUGGGCCUUUGAGCCACCCAGUCUCAAUUUCAGCUCCCCCGCUCUGCUGUCCUGGCAAGUAAGCAUGCGGGGAUCUGUACUGUGUGAAACAAAGCAUCGGGGUGCCUGUGCUCCAGUGAACCCUUAUUUACACAACUCGAGGGGGGCCCGUGUCAUAGUUACCUGUCCCCGCCACGACACCACGGCUUCUCUUUGAAAGAAUACACUUCUCUUUCUGCCGUCUGAUCUGCGCCCACUUCCCGUCUCUGCAGCACGCUGUGCACGGAGAAGGGCUCUGCUUCCUCCCAGGCUGCUCCCCAUAAAGUCCAAAACAGAAAAUCACCUUCACGAGUUUCUGCCAUCGCCGUGCUUCGUGACAAGUUUGUUUGCAUUGAACCCCUUACUCAAGCAAAGUAAGCAAAUGGGAGACUUUCUGCGUCUCUAUUCACUUGUCACCAGCAUGUCAACGCAUGGACAGCAAAACAGAUUCAACGGAAGAGCAAUGAUGAUGAGAAGGCACAACGGUGAUUGAAAGAAACCAGCUUCGUUUUGAUCUCCGCCACCUUGCUGAAAGAUCGUGCUGAAGACUGGACAUCCCAGGUCAUGGCACCGGCACAUUAUCUGUUGAAGGCCAGCUCCCUGGGUCAAGGACAGCCGUCUUCUCGCUGUGUCCUCACAUGGAGGAAGGCAUAGACACACCGUGAGACAGACAGCAUGGCGAGUCAAUAGAAACACAGUUGGGAGACUAAGGCUCGAUCUAUGUUUCAUGAAUCAUCCACCCAGAAAGAAGAGGCUUCACUCAGUAGAACCAUCGCGGGAAAGGUGCGGGGUACACGGGAAAUGUCCGUCAUGAGCAGCUCCCAAUAGCUGAGGUUCGUCUAGGCUCCUAGCACACAGACAUAUCUGUACACUUGGAAGGGCGCAUGCAGAGCUCCGGUUGGAAGAGCGCGGAGCGGGUCACCAGCAGCGAGCGCGCGGGCUGCAGACAGACGGGUGGACGGACGGAAUACCGAGCCAGGGGAUUCAGAGCACACGGGGCUGAGUCUGUCCCGACCGCGUCAGGAGCCGCGGACAAGCAUCUGGAAACCCGUGCACCUUCAGGCUCGCCUUUCCCACAGGGGUCACUUGCACGAAGCUGCGAAAUAUCGCCUGCAUCGUCACGCUCGUUUGCCUUCCGAUGCUCAUGCGGUGAAGGAGUUCCGAGCUGUCUGUGCAUCCACAGUCCUCCAGAAACCCACAACACGGCAAGUACCCAGCGCCACCACCACGACCCCAGACGACGGUCCCUCGCAUUGCCCAGGUUGACUUAGCUGCACGGUGAGAGGAGGAAGCCCUUCCCGUACGAUGCUGAAAUGUUGACGAACUGCCCUUUCCUCACAGAAGAAACACCGACGGGGAAAAAUCGUGACCCUUCGCUUUACAAGAACCGAUCUCUCGGCACCCCUGGUGAGCUGUGAAGAGAAUGUCCGCGAAACACGUCACCAGGACGCGUCUGAAACCCAGUUUCAAAGGAGCAUCAGGAAAGCCUUGACCCGACCCUGACCAAGAGAUGGAAAAAGCAUGAUAUGUGCAGAAAACCCACGGAAAGACGAGAAGGCAAGCAAGGCCGGCAGGGAGCGAGCAGGUAAGCAGCGACCCCACACUCAUGCUGACGGUGCUGGGACAAUCCAGUCCCUAGAUGCUCGCGGGGAGGAAGAACUUCAGACCCAGAGAACUCUUCGGGGCACAGGGAUCUGUGGUGAGUGAGUUAUCUCAGUGUUUCAUGCAGACUGCUGACUGUGUGUGUCCCAUACUCACUGUGCGCGGAGGGCAGCGUGAGGUCGGGCGUCCAGAAGGUUUUGAUGGUGGCCGGCCCUUCGCCGCCCGCGGUCAGCACCUGUACUUCCAGUCGGUACAGCGUGGACGGCCUCAGAUUGGGCACUGUGAGGACGUAAUGGUCCUGGGGGAGCCACACAAAACGAAAUGCUCGUCAGUGACCUUUCAUAAGGAACAGACACGGGGCACGCGUCCUCUCAGCGGCUCCUCCCCAUCAGAGAACAGGUGUGAGUGCACACGCAGAGCGGCGUGUGUGAGCACAAGGAGAGGGACAGCGACGGGUGAGCGUGUGGAGAGCGGCAGGCAAGAGGGCAGAGAGAGCGGCAGGGGCGAGCACGCAAGAGUAAUAUGUGUGAGCAUGAAGAGAGGGACAGCGGUAGCGGUGAGCACAGACAGCGGCGUGUGCGAGCGCAGGGAGAGCAGCAGGUGUGAGCGCGUGGGGAGUAACAGGUACGAGCAGGUAGAGACAACAGGUGUGAGCCCACGGAGAGGGGCAGGGUGAGCGCAGGGAGUAGGCGUGAGCGCAAGGAGAGGGACAAAGGCAGGGGUGGGCACAGAGAGCAGCAGGCAUCGUGCACGGAGGGUAAUAGGUGUAGGCAGGCGAGAGCACGCGGAAAGCAGCAGGCGUUGUGCACGGAGAGGGACAGGUGUGCGUGUGCGGCAGGAGUGAGCGCGCGUGGGGCAGCGGGAGGGAGCAGGGGCUGCUCCCACCCGGCGGACCCCUCUGCCGCGUGCUCCCUCCGUCUGCGCUCCGUCUGGGCUGCCCCAGUCACUUGGCAGAGGACGACUGUGCCGAGGUGCCAGUUCUCAGGCUCACCCUUGGGAUUUCGUUUUUUUUCUCCUUAACAUAAGACUUUCCCAUGGUUUAAAGUUUUCAUCUGCACAUCUUGUGAUGUGAAUUCUUGAUAAUCCAAAUUUCAGUGAACGAGCCAACUGUUUUCCUUAAAACACAAUAUCUGUCAAUGCCCGUAACUGAAAAUGUUUAUUUUUAUGCCAACACAUUCUUCUCAAAAUUCAAUAAAACCUAAUACAUUCAUAGAAUAACUACUUUCUAAUUCCAAGGAAUUUUUCCUUCCGGACUUAAGGUUUUUUUCUUUCUUUCUUUCUUUCUGGAGCCAGAGCUGGAUAUCCUAAGGGCAUUUUUAGAGAGGGUAAAAGCCCACACAUGGGUUUUUUUUCAAGCCAAGGAAUUAAGUGGCCUGGAAGGAGGGCCAGCUCAUUAUGGGCUCCAGCCAGAUCUGAACGGGGAAAAGGGAGAGAAACAACAAGUUUCUUUUAGCUAUUUUUCCCCCAAUUUAACACUUUAAACAGGGCACGUCCACUUGGACCAGAGGGACAUGGGGUUAACAACUUGUGAAAUCACUUGCAUACGGGACAGGACAGGGGCUGCUGGAGAAUCAGGGUGUUGCGACAUGACCGUUUACCCUGCUCACAGUAGCGCUUGUCAUGUGUCCUUAAUCCUUACAAACUCCUACAUCCAGAAGGAGAAAACGCAGCAGGAAGGCUCAGUAGUCAGCACGCAGCCCGGCAGAAGCCCCGGACCCCACCCGGACGGCAGCGCACACGGAGGAGCCGAACCCGCACUUACCGGAGGCAGAAUCUGGGAGCGAGAGAUGAUGCUGUUGGCACGGCUCCGGCUUCGUGCCGUGCAGGCGUGCUCACAGACGCGCGCAGCCGGCGGAACGACCGAGAGGCUGAGAGCGGAACUGCGCACCAACGUGGAAACGUGACUCCGGGGCUGCAGGAGAGGGCAGCGACGCGUCCUUUCAUUCGCCUCCUCUGCGUCCCCAGUCUGCCCGCUGUGUAUCAGAGCCUGGUGCCCUCGUGUAAAACAUGCAGGCGGGACUUCUAUCCGGGGGGUCUGGGUGCACGAUGGGGUUCCCGCCACACAGCAGCGUGCAUGAGGUGGGAAGCAGCGGACCAGGAGUACAGUAGAAGCUGAGGCUCUGCCCAUUCUGCCAGUCACCGGGGUCAGGAGCGGGAGGGAGCCGUGCGGAUGCGCACGGGGAUGCGCACGCGCAUGCGCACAAGGUCGGACGCGAACGUGCGGCGGAGGUGGGGGGGGGGACGGGCACGGGAGGGACGCGCAUGAGGGAGGGAUGCGCAUGAAGUCGGAGGGGAGAUGUGCAGGGGGGGAGGGGACCGGGCACAAGGUCGGAGGGGAGAUGCACACGGGGGCACAGGCACGGAAGGGAUGCACACAAGGUCGGAGGGGAGAUGUGCAUGGGGGAUGCACACCCAAGAGCCGCUGGCCCUUUCCCCUAGAUGUGACAGGCAGGGAAGCAGAGCCAGGGCACUGUGCACACCAGUGAGCAGGGAGCCACGCUGGCCUGCUGCGUCCCCUGGGGUGACUGCUUCUCUGCAGGAGUGAAUGUACGCUUUACAUGGGAACAGACUGCAAUCCCACGCUCCGCUCGUCCUUACCUUCAGAGUUUCUGGACACGAGAAGCCAACGGUUGGCUGGGCCCCUGAAAAUACGCCAGAUUUCCUACGAUUCCAAGGCAUGCGCCCCAAAUUUGGAAGCAGCUUAUGGAAAAAGGAAAGGAACAGCGUUGGCAAGCGUGCAUCGGGACAAGUCAAGCCCAGUAGAAAAGUACUUCUGCAGACCCACUGACUUGUUUGAUCUACUAUCUUAAAGUUAUGCGAUCAGAGAGGAUUCUAAAAAUACCAUACUUGUUGCUUUAAAAAGCAUCCAAACGAAAAAUGUCCUCCUUACAGAUCGAUCGUCUGUCCACCUAUCAGACACCUGGGGCCAUGCCUUGCGAUGUUUUAAACUCUGCUGCUGUAUCUCAGACACGUCGCUGGCAACAACACCGUGGGCAAGGCACCGCCGUCUUCACCGAUCUCCGCUGGCUUGUUGAUACGACUCUGAAAUUCAUGCAUGAACCCCAAAUAUCUGGACGGACACAUGGAGUAGGACUGAAACAGUUACUCUCCCCAAGGACUUAAUGUUCUCUUAGAAUCAGAGAAGUGUCUGUGCACCGUGUGUGGCUGAGGUGACAGCCUUCGUGCACCGGACGAGCAGCUGCUGGUCAGGGACCCGGCAAAUUCUCAGGGUUGUAAAGAAGUUGACAGAGACAAUGUUACCUUUACACCGUGGAGCCAAGAUUCAGAGAGUAACACAGAGCUGUUGUCCGAUUAAGAUGAGACACACAGCACCUCAGAAGCCUCUCCCCUCCGACCUGGCAUUUCCUAUGAAGUGCAUCUUUGAUCUCUGCAUUUUGGGACCUGCCACGUGUGGCCAAGGGAUCAUGCGGUCAGGGCAGGCUGUGAGCGGAGGACGGAAUGCGUGAGCAGAAGGGCCAUUCUGAUCUCCCGUGUACCUCGUUAUUACUCAGCGGCUACCGGCUGAGAACGAGCUAUCGGUGGGUCAGACCCUUUGCGCAUCUUUCCGUGCAUUUGAUACACAGACCCAGCGGAGCCAGUUGCCACUGAGACCCGAGCGGUGUGACCAUCUCUCACCUGGGUGAUGCCAGAAGAGGCCUCUGCUCCGGUGCUCCUGUUGUGGGCACAGGCCUCCGGCAGCCACUGCACGUGGUAUCGGCUGACGCCGGGAUCUGCAAGGUCAGAGCACAGAGAGAGCACGGUCUGCGGCCACGUUCCACAUCGGCCACUGCUCUUAAACCGGCAGCCAACAGGAAGGAACACACAGGUUCUGCAGGUGACCCGAAAACGCGCACACAGGACAAAGGAGGCAGGUCGGUCUACAGAACUCUGACUGUUGUCAGGGGGAGAUUCCCAGAGAAAACCGGAUAAAAUGCGAGAAAGCACAGGAACGUCACAGCAGAAUGCCCGCUAGGAGGUGUGGAGGGGAACCUCACUCGGGCUGCUGUGCCAAGAGCACCCCCACAGGAUAGGGCGGCCCAUGUCCCAGGAGUCUCUGUUCCCGCAACAGGGAGUCAUCACCACAAGUGUGAACCCUACAGUUUGCAGACAAAGCUGACAGGGAGGUCGUGGGACCCGUGCCGAAUCCACAGCCUUUCCUCCAGCGGCAGCGCCCAGCGUCCCGGUGCGUUGGCUCGUGCACGUGAGCGUUCCCGCAGCACGAGGCCGGGGAGCAGCACCUCCCCUUGGCCGCACACGUCCGCGUGUGUGGUCCCUACUGAACCCUGACCUGCUCGGGGGCUCAGGGGAGAACGUGACCCCGCAAAGCUGUCCUUCCGGAGCAGAGUGGCGUGUUCUCUGCACAGCGCUGGACUCUGGGCCGUCACUCAGAUAAAGCACAAAACCACGACACGCACCGCGCCGAGCGUGGGAAGGGAGGUGUGGCCAGGGUCGCGUUUCUUCACCAACCUGCAUGUCCAAGGCUGUGCAAAGGCACCGCUCUACCAGCGCCUCACCUCUCAUCCCCCGCGUUCCCACCAAGCGUUUGAUGCCGCUUUACUCAGAGGAAAACGCUCUGAUGCCAUUGGGUGGUUCUGGUGGGAACUCGCUUUGAGCACUUUGGAACGAGAAAAGAAGAACUCUGAAUCCGAGGGGAUGGCGGCUGUCACGCAGGCCCCUCGCUGUUUACUUAAAAGGGGAACCCCUUCCCAGAGGCUUUGGCAUUUACACAGCAGACGGCGGGGCUCUUGAGGGAAAGGACUGUACGUUACACACAAGUGUGAAGUCAGUGAGUGAGCUCACAUGCUUUCCCGCAGGUGCUGCUCUUGCAGGCCAAUAAGCAAGUAACCACACAGAACAGCUGCUGUCCUGGCGCUUAUACACUGACGGGGCUGCGGUAACAACCAGGCACAGACACAGGAUCUGCACUAGGCUGGAAGGUCAUCUGGCUACAGAUUAAUGCAGGAGAUCAAGAGAUUCAGCAUAUUUUCUUCUGCUCCAUUUUUAGUUUGAAGAGCCAGAAGGAUACCCCAGUUGCCUGACACAACUAUACGACUUUUGCAACCUGUCAACCCUGGAAAUGGUCCUCCUGCCUCCAAGAAAGCAAGCUGCAUUUCCAUUCAGGAGCAUGACAUCCUUCUUCCUUCAAGGGGCCCUUUUAUAGCACGGCAUGAACAUUCAGUUUUUGCUUACGUAGAGAUUUUUGUCAUUGAAUUACCCUGUAGCCUGCAGACCUGGGAAAAUGUAAUUCAAAAAGUAAUUUACAUGCUGGCAUUUACUACCCUCUUUCCUAUAAAAAGUAAUUUCCCUUGCUUAUACUAUAAAGUUGUAAUUAUUCUUUAUUUCUCAUUGGUCCGUGAUGAAAUAUAGUGUUCUUGUAAAAGUCAUACACUAGGGGCACCUGGGGGGCUCAGUCAGUUGAGCGUCUGCCUUCAGCUCAGGUCAUGAUCUCAGGGUCCUGGGACUGAGCUAAUCCUGAGAAGAAGUGGCCUUUGAAGGGUUAAUUGUCAUAACUCUUUCUGGAUCAGGUAAAACACUAUUACUCUAUUGUGCAAUACGGCUUAAGGUGUGAGAGAAACGGGUUCACAAUCACCCUGGAGAGGGUG